UACGGAGGGUGCAAGCGUUAUCCGGAUUCACUGGGUUUAAAGGGAGCGUAGGUGGGUUGGUAAGUCCGUGGUGAAAUCUCCGAACUUAACUUGGAAACUGCCAUGGAUACUAUCAGUCUUGAAUAUUGUGGAGGUCAGCGGAAUAUGUCAUGUAGCGGUGAAAUGCUUAGAUAUGACAUAGAACACCGAUAGCGAAGGCAGCUUGCUACACAAUCAUUGACACUGAGGCACGAAAGCGUGGGGAUCAAACAGG
rnacentral:rRNA from 1 species